rnacentral:rRNA from 1 species
AUUGAACGCUGGCGGCAUGCCUUACACAUGCAAGUCGAACGAGUGUAGCAAUACACAAGUGGCGAACGGGUGAGUAAUGCAUCGGAACGUAUCCUAUUGUGGGGGAUAACGUAGCGAAAGUUACGCUAAUACCGCAUAAGACCCGAGGGUGAAAGCGGGGGAUCUUCGGACCUCGCGCGAUAGGAGCGGCCGAUGUCGGAUUAGCUAGUAGGUGGGGUAAAGGCUUACCUAGGCGACGAUCCGUAGCGGGUCUGUGAGGAUGAUCCGCCACACUGGGACUGAGACACGGCCCAGACUCCUACGGGAGGCAGCAGUGGGGAAUUUUGGACAAUGGGCGCAAGCCUGAUCCAGCCAUGCCGCGUGAGUGAAGAAGGCCUUCGGGUUGUAAAGCUCUUUCGGACGGAAAGAAAUUGCUUCGGAUAAUACCUGGAGUAGAUGACGGUACCGUAAGAAGAAGCACCGGCUAACUACGUGCCAGCAGCCGCUGUAA